UAUGUGUUGUUUCAUGGAUGCAGUUUAUUUUUAUCUUUUAGGAUAUUAUAAUUUUAUUUAGAGUAUCUUUUCCCAUGGGCAUCCUAUUUUGCCUAGACUCUUCCAUAUUCAUUUUUACUAUUUUCUUGUUGGUUUUAACCUGUUUGUCACAUUAGACACUUUGUGUUGCUACUUGGCAACCUGUUUCUGUCCAUUUCUACUUGAGAAUUUCACUAAAAAGCUGACUGAAAGGUAUGUGUGUGUCUGGGCGCACACCCAAUUGGGAAAGCAGUGCAGGAUAUGUUGUGGAAAGACCAAAGAAAAGAUACGGAGAUGGGAAACAAGACACAUGGCUUUAUUUGUUGUUAUUUAGAGGGAAUGUCCAGUGGCAGCCAGCUGGACGGAAAUGUGCACCCGCAACUGCAGGCGGGGAGGGGGUUGCUUAUAUAGGCAGAGGGCACGAAGGCUAUACGCUUGCCGAGAGGGGCUGUCCCUGGUACGACCAGCAUUCCCAGGAAUAGUAGUUCACAUGAAGGGGCUCUGUGUUCCUUCUAGACAUGUUGUUCUUUGAGUGAGAUAAGGUAAGACCCAGGCUGGCCAGGCCCUGGAUUGUUACAAAUCCCAGAGGUUUGGCGUCCUGCCCAGAAGAGGGCCAGAAGAACACAUGUUUGCAAUGGGCUUGUGGGCUCUUGCUGAGCAAGCAAGGCCCAGGCCCUACAGUGUACAAGAGGAGGCCUUGCUAACUCAUGAGCUUCACUGUAGGAUGACUGAGCAGGAUUUGGCCAGUGUUGUAGGGGAUCCACACUGUCAAUAUCUGUAGGCAUUUUUCCUUUAUCUGGUCAUAAAGAGAUCCUCCCUCCAAAUAAAUUCUUCCAUCCUCCGUAUAGAGUGUACGAGCCCAGAUGAUAGAUUCUGCUACCUGGUCACGGAAACGAACUGCAGUUUCACCAUUCAUCAUGUUGACUUUCAUAUAAAUCUCCUGUCUUCUGGAUAAAAGCUCACUUUUCUCUCCACUGUGACUGGAGUCUAUUUGGUGCAUUCUUUCCAAAGCGUGAAUACCUAAUCUUCUGCUAGGUUGAAAGAUACUGUUUUGGCCUGGGUUCCCUCAAAAUAAGAGCCUUAAACUAAGGCUUAAAUAAAGGGUUCAGAAAACAAAAUUGUUAGGUGAAUCUGACAGGGGACCCGGGAGAACAAUAAGAAAGGAUGAAAAUAGAAAUUGGACAAUUAAUAGCAAAAAAGCAUGUCUAAUACCCCAAAGUUAGAUUUAGUGAUAAAUUCUUCAUAAGGUUUGUAUAAUAAAUGCAAUGUUAAAAAUGCUGCAGAAUAUUAAAAUAUGGGAGUAUCCUACUUAUUUUGUGAAACUAGCACAAAUGAUGAAAGGAGACUGGAUAUUAAAAGAAUGAAAUUAUAAUCAUGUAAGAAUUUAUAACUAGAAUGUAAGGAUGGCUUAAGAUUAGAAAAUUAGCAGUAUGUGUUAGUCAAUCAAGAUCCUAAAAGGGCCUCUGCUAAUACAUCCAUUCCUUUGAUAAGCUUCAUAACCUAGGAAUGGAGAGAGCUUUCCUUAACAAGAUAAAGAACCAUUCUUAAGCCAACAUUGGAUAUCACCCUUAACAAUAAAACAUUGAAGGCAUUCCCAUUAAGGGAAGGAAUAAGAUAUGAAUGCUGGCUAUGACCACAGCUUAAUUGUAGUCUGGAAAUUCAGAAGAGCUCAUGGAUUCUUAAUCAUCAUGAAGAUGAGAUUAGAAAGUAACCACCUAUAAGUGCCAACUUCUUCUCAUAGUGUGAUUACAUUGUUACUGGGGAGCUCUAUUUUCGUUGAAGCAAAAUCUAUGACCUCUCCAGGACUUUCAAAAAGUUCAGAGGAAAGGGGUAAGAAAGUGAGCAGACCACUCAGGAAUUUAGCAAAGUGCAAUUUACAGAGUAGAUUGGGAGGUCUUCAUGUGUCAAGACUGAGAGGCUAGCCACAGUAAUUCCACAAUUGUUGGCUUUGCGCACACAUUCCAGACACUCCCCAGGCCCUACUGGGAGCAGGAUUAGAGACAUCUCAUGUGAUAGAAAAGCAUUCCUCAUUGCAUUGUGACUAGCUGUGGAUAGUCACAUCUAUAUGAUUACCAAAUAUGUCUAUGACUAAUAAAAUUCUAUUUCACAAGAAUAAACACCAACCAAGUGCUGACUUGCCAGAUGAAAAACAUGUUUUGUUUUGCUCCUUGCCAUUGGAAUUAAACAUUAUUAGUUUGCUAAUAUUAACUGCUGGCACUCAAUAUUCUUCAUACCCCUUUCAGUUCUCUUUUUGUUUUGCCAAGGCAAGAAGCCUGGGAGCUACACUUCUUGGACUCUAUUGCCAACAAGGUUUUGAAUUUGUUCAGGGUUCCACAAAUGAGGUCUGCUCUCACAAGAUCUGGAAGGCAGAAGAAGCAGAAGCCAUCUUUUUCUAUGACAGCUCACUUCCAAGCUUCAGACGCAUGGAUCUGCCUCUAAAUAGCACAUCCACAAUCUUGAGAACUAAAAGAAGAGGUGGACCGCUGCCUGGAUCCCAGACUGGCCACCGGGUGGCACACAUUCAAGAGACAUUCAAACAGCUUUGCAAAGGCUUUUAAAAAUGGAACUGACGUUGAAACCACUACCCAUAGAAGACUGGUUGGACCUUGCAACAUGAAUCCAACUGGAUCAAUUGCCUAAUAAAACAAAAUGUUGACAUUCUCCAUAGGACUUAAGCAAGACCCAGAAUUUUAUAAUAUGAUUUUCAAAAUCUUCAAGAUACAAUCCAAAACUAUUCAGCAUGUGAAGAAACAGGAAAAUCUCAACUCACAUGGGAAAAGACAAUAACAGAUGCCAGUGCUGAGAUGACACAGAUGUUGGGACUAUCUGACAAAGACUUUGAUGAAGAUAUUAUAAAAAUGCUCCAGAAAGUAAGGGCAAAGACUCUUAGAAUUAAUGGAAAAAUAGAAAAUAAAUAGAAGAUAUUAAGGAAAACCAAAUAGAAAUUGUGUAACUAAAAAUAUAAACUUAAAUUUUAGAAAACUCACGGGAUAAACCCAGUAGUCAAAUGGAGAUCACAGAGGAAAGAGAAUGAAUUUCAAGAUUGAACAAUGGAAUUACUGAGAUUGAACAAAGAGGGAAAAAAAGAAAAAGAAAAAGCUUGCAGAACCUCAGAGACCUGAGUGACGAUACAAAAAGGUCUAACAUUCAUGUCACUGAAGGACUAGAAAGAGAAGAGAAAGACACGGUACAAAAAAAAUAUCUGAAGAAAAUGCAUUUGAAGAAAAAUUUCCAUAUUUGGUGGAAGACAGAAAUGUACAGAUUCAAGAAGCUAAGCAAACUAUAAACAGGAUACACCCAAAAGUCCACACCCAGGCACAACAUACUCAAAUUUUUUUAAACCAAAGUCAAAGAAAAUAUCUUGAAAAUUGCCAGAGACAAACAGUGCAUCAUACACAAAGAAACAACAAUUUGAAUAACUACAUUUCUCAUUAGAAACUAUGGAGAAACUACAAAAGAAAAUGGUGCAAUAAUUUUCAAGUACUGAAAGAAAAGAACUGUCAAUCUAGAAUUCUAUAUGCAAAAAAAUAUCUUUCAGGGAUGGAGCUGAAGUAAGAUUUUCUUUGCUGAAAGAAAACUAAGAGAAUUCCUUUCCAGCAGAUCUGAACUAAAAAAAUUGUUAAAGAAAGUUCUUCAGAUAGAAGAAAAUGAUACCAGAAUGAAACUUUGAACAUCAAGAAUGAAGGAAGAGCAACAGAAAUGGAACGAAAAAGCAGACUAUGAAGAAGAAAGCAUUGACAUCUCACUACAGUGGUACCAAGGAAAGGCGUUCCUUUCAGUAAAUAACAGACAAGAUUCCUCUUCCAAGACUCUGAUUUGGGAGACCACAGAGAGAAAACCUGGCAGAAGUGCCUCUUGUUGCUGUCUCCUACAAAGCAACAAGUUUGAGAAGUCUAACCCUGUGUUUCUACUUGGGAGCUCAGCACUAACUCUCACAGGCCUGGAGGUAUUUGGAGAGCAAGUCUUGUAGAGAAGACCAAGAAAACAAAAGGGACAGCUCUUCAGAUCCACCUUACUGGGAAUAUCACUCAGACACAACAUUCAGAAAGUCCAGGUUUAACAAAGGUCCAGAGUCUUCUAACUCACUUCUUAUAGAAGUUAUGAACUACACAGCAGCAGCAAUGACAACAAGCACAACAAAGCAGCCUCAGUUCUCUAGUUCUGCAGCAGGAUUCAGGGACCCCCAGGGGCUUAAUAGAGAUGCAAUCUCAGAAUGUAAGUACAGGUGCUUAGGCCAACCAGGAAGAUAUUAUAAUUAGGUUAUUCUGAGGUUGGGGUGAAAACUACAUCUAAGGUUCUGUGAGGCCCAUGAGUGGUUAAAUGAUGAAUAAGGCAGUACUCAUCCUAGAGGAAAAUCUGGACCAGUGAAUGUAAGCUUGACUGGAAAUGCUAAAGAUAAAAACAGAAACCAGAAAAUUUUCCUGGUAAUAAUCAGGCUUCCUCGCCUUGCACAGUUCCAAUAAUACACAAAUUUCAGUGUAUUAUUCAGUGUACCCACAGUUUAAGUGAUACCAGUCCCCCAACAACACAGUUCAAAUUCUCAGUUACCUCAAUAAAUUGACUGUGAGUAAUUGCAUAAAGUAGGAACUUCACUGUUAGAUUUUCAAACCACAAAUCACUAUGUAAGUAACAGAUGCACAUGACAUUCAGUGACCAAUUGCAUCACUUCUUUCAAAGUCUAUUGGUGAUUGGCCACCACACAUCUGUUAUUCAGUUCACACACAGACAGCAAAGCAUGUAGUUGUGUUACCUCCUUGUCUUCCAGGGAUAAACUUACCUAAACAUUUGAAAAAAUGGAUAACCUAAAAGGAAAUUGGCUAAGAGAUGAAGUGCAACAAGGAAACCAAAAUUGAUAAAGCUGCAAGUGAAGUUCUAAUUGAGCAUAAAUGGAGUCAGGGAAGAAAUGGCCAUCUGUGGGAAUGUUGACACCAUCACUGUUUUCCAGAGACGAUAGACGUGCAUCCAGAGGAACUCAGUGAAGCCAAACUUAGCGACACAAAUGAGGAAUAUGGCGGUGAUGAAAAGGAUGAAGAUAUCCCAGAAGAAGGCACACUGGCAAAAAACCCUCACAUUAAAGAAACUCUGGGAGGAAUUGUGCUGUAUUGAAGGCACAAUGGAUAAAUAGCUGGAAACUAAUUCAGAUUUAGAAAGGAGUACAACAAUUCACGGAGGAAUAAUAAAGAGGCUCACUCCAUACCGUAUGUCAUACAGGGAGAGGAAAAGGGCGGGCACUGCUCAAACUGAGCUCGGGGGAUCCCUACAAAGAAAAAGACAUUGUACUGUUCAGCGUUUCUACUGUUUUAAACUUCAAUGUACUAAAUAAAUAUUAGUUUUACCAUUUUUAAAUUCCCCCAUAUUUUUAUAACCUACUGUAAAAGAGUCUUUAAUGUGUUGACAAAAAACUUUUAAAGGUCCCAGAACCAUUGUAAUUUUCCCUUCUUUGAUUAAUAACAUUACCUUGCAUGGUUUUUGUCUGCAGAGUCAUCUUUCCACUCUCUCAUUACCAUGCAAAUCAAGGACUGCCUGUAAAGCUGAGCUAGGAUCAUAGCAGUGGGAAGGGAAAUGAAAUGGUAAAUAAGAAACAAAGCAAAACUCCAAGGACUGUGAUUGAGUGGUUGUGAAGAACACAGUUGGAGAAGAUGGUGGGUGUGGUCAGCAGGGAGCAGAAAUAAACAGAAAAUGAUUAGAAGAAGAAAGCUGAAAAGAUAACUUUUGUGUGGAGACAGACUCCAGGAGAGGUUUAGUUUAGAAAAAGAGAGUUAUGAGCUUUAGAAACAUUAUGAUUAUUUAAGAAAGACUCAGAUAUGUGAAAUAUUGGAUGCAACAGUGCACCAAAAUUUGGCACUUUGUGACACAGUUGGGAGAACAGGCACAUAAACUGUUGGUGGUACGAGUAAAAGGAGUACUUCUCAUUCUCAUGCCAUUUCAUAUACCACUUGCUAUUUAUUUAGUAGGACAAAUUUACUUUUUAAAGUCUACCUUUAAAAAGGGGAGAAUAUCUCCUGCAUUUUCUAAAUCUGGCUGGUUUUUUUUUAAUUAGACAUGAUUUAUUUUUUUUAAGACAUCUUGUUCUCAUUGAGGGUUUGCCUCUUUGAUGAGAAAUGUCACCUUUCUGCAUCAAAAAGAGAAGUUAUUUCAGAAUUAAGGCCGACAAAGGUGGUUAGAAGAGGAAUGCAUGUAAGUGUCCUAGAGGUCAGAAAAAAAGAAGACCUUGUUCUAGGAAAGGAGUUCUGAGCAAGAGGAUCCAGCCAGCUGAGAUAGAAGCCUGUGCCCAGCAAGAGGGAACUGGAACUGACGAUUCCUUUCCUUCCCCAGAGCUUCAGCUAGGAAGACGAUUGUUCUGUAGUAUGAAGAACAGUCAUCAUUCACCACAGUUGGUUGACAUGAUUUAUUAAGUUGAAUCAAGCACAGAAAAGAAAAGUUCUUUGUGAUAGGCCAGAUUCCAUGAGUGGGAAUUCCUUGGAGUCACAUAGGGAGAGAAUACGCCCCAGUGUUGAAGGCUUUCCAGAGACUGCUUCUGUUCCACUUUCCACCCCUCCCUAAAUCACUUGCCAAAGAAAUAUUUUGCUGGACACUGAAGUGGCCACAGCUGUGGUCAUAAGAAAACAUCAGGAUGUGAAAUGAAUCAUCCUCUCUUUUAGUUAAUGUUUUUUUGAGUAUGCAGGCGGGGUAAAGGACAGGUGCUAUUAAGAUAAUAAACAUCAUUAGAGUGAUUGGAAGUGCUUCCAGUUUCCAUGAACAAAAGCUUUCCAAGGAGCUGUAAUUAUUUGUAAGGUCAGUGAACUAAAAUUUUCCCCUAUCAGUAUUAAGCAAAAAGGUCAUUAAUGUUUUAGGGGACUGUAAUGAGUCUGAAAGAGGUUGACUUGAUCCUCCCCUUUUGUAGUUCUCCAUCAGAUCACCCUAUGAUCCUCCUCAACUUCCAGACUCCUGGACGGCUGAAGUAGAACCAGCGACUGACUCUCUGACCAGCUGUUCAGGGCCUGAAGUUACCCUCCACCCAACUGGCAAGGUUUUCUACAACAUAUAUAGACUUAUCCUCAGAUGAGGAUUACCCACCCCACCCCACACCCCCCAAAAAGCCUGAGAUCAUUCCUCUAUGCUAGCUGUGAAAAAAGAGAGGUAACUAUAGUCUUUUAACCUAUCAGUGUUGGAAAAAAAUCUAUGGGUGUCCCAAAGCAUCUAGGAUUGAGGGUAUGGAGAGAAGAUUCUUCAAUCACAAGAGAAUCCCAGUUUCGCCCAUGAAGAAAAGAGAGAGGACAGGUCCAUAAGGUGUUACAGGUCUUUGGACCUUCAUGUUGUCUCCAAAGUUGGGGUUUUCUUCUAAUUCUGAAGGGCCAGCUUUGGGGACCCUUUGCCAUAGUUGUCAUCUCUCAGGAACCUUAUAAUAAACUACAAUGUUUUAAACUUGGACUAUAUCCAGGAUGUGUGCAUGUGUAUAAUAUUUUCUUAUUUAAGCC
rnacentral:lncRNA from 1 species